ACAAUGAAUCCGGACGGCUAUUUCUGUAAGCAUCCCUAUAAAUAUGGGCUAAGCCCAAUUCCGAACAACUUGGCCCAAAUCAUUUGGUUCCCCAACAUACGACUCUUGUAUACUACUAAUUGAAUUAGGUAUUGUUUCCUUACUACUACUAGUUUUGAUUCCAAUCUCCUCCGAAUCCAACAAUGGCGAGGAGCAAAUUUGAAAAAUUACCUGAAGAAAUCAUAGUUGAGAUACUCUCCGGUCUGCCGGCGAAAUUGAUUGGCCAACAAUCUUGAAAGGAAUAGCUUUAGAUUUUUACUCUCUUCUUUGAAUCGCGAGUAAAAAAAAAAAUGUGAGUUAAUCUCACAGUCAACUCAUGUAAAGCAGACCACUUCUGUGCAUAAUGUUUUUAAGCAAGGAUUUCAUGGUUGAUACACACACACACACACGAGGCUCAAACCUUCAUGAAUAGUCUUGUCUCUCCUUCCUUUGGCAAGGGAAGUGAGGGUUAAUAUAUUCCUUAAUGCUUGAGAUAAUACUGUAUACAAAUAUUCCAAGA
rnacentral:lncRNA from 1 species